rnacentral:rRNA from 1 species
CCUACGGGCGGCUGCAGUGGGGAAUAUUGGGCAAUGGAGGAAACUCUGACCCAGCAACGCCGCGUGAAUGAUGAAGGUCUUCGGAUUGUAAAGUUCUUUCCUCAGGGAAGAAGAAAGUGACGGUACCUUAGGAAUAAGCCUCGGCUAACCACGGGCCAGCAGCCGCGGUAAUACGUAGGAGGCAAGCGUUAUCCGGAAGGACUGGGCGUAAAGGGUGCGGAGGGGGCUUGGCAAGUUGGUAGCGUAACUCCGGGGCUCAACCUCGGCACUACUACCAAAACUGUCGGGCUUGAGUGCAGGAGGGGCAAGUGGAAUUCCUGGUGUAGCGGUGGAAUGCGUAGAUAUUAGGAGGAACACCAGUGGCGAAGGCGAUUUGCUGGACUGUAACUGACGCUGAGGCACGAAAGCGUGGGGAGCAAACAGGAUUAGAUACCCGUGUAGUC